UACGGGGGGGGUAAGCGUUGUUCGGAAUUACUGGGCGGAAAGGGCUCGUAGGCGGCCAACUAAGUCAGACGUGAAAUCCCUCAGCUUAACUGGGGAACUGCGUCUGAUACUGGAUGGCUUGGAUUCGGGAGAGGAAUGCGGAAUUCCAGGUGUAGCGGUGAAAUGCGUAGAUAUCUGGAGGAACACCAGCGGCGAAGGCGGCGACCUGGGCCAAUAUUGACGCUGAGGUGCGAAAGCGUGGGGAGCAAACAGG
rnacentral:rRNA from 1 species